rnacentral:misc_RNA from 1 species
AACGCACCUUGCGCCUCUUGGUAUUCCGAGAGGCAUGCCUGUUUGAGUGUCUUAUAAAAUCAAUCCCCACGGGUUUCUGACCUGGCGGUGGACUUGGAAUUGGGUGUCUGCCGCUCACACGGCUCGCCUUAAAGACGUUAGUGGGACAAGUUGCCUAUGGCUUGACGUAAUAAGUUUCGUCGGACCUGGUGACUUAUGCCCGCUCACAACCCGCCCUCGGGCAACUACUUUAUGCUAGACCUCAAAUCAGGUAGGACUACCCGCUGAACUUAA